UGGAAGACUGUUUGUUCCUGGCAACUAUGUAACUGAUGGUGUUGUCAAGUUCUAUUAUGGAUAUUUAGACAGUCAUUUGAAUCAUAUUGGAGCUCGCAUUGCUGCCUCCACUUGGCAAGAUGUCUUCUACAUGAUGUCCGCUGUUUUUGUCGUGAAUUUUGCUCUCCUUGUCAUUUACUUGUUGGUUACACGUACAGUCCACUUCAUUCGACGACUAUGGCAAGCUCGCAAAGACAGGAUAACUGCGGCCAAUUUGCCCCCUGCUCCAAAGAAACCAAUAUGGCGACCAAAGCCCAAGAAAAAACGAAGAAAGAACAAGAAUGGUUGGUAGCCGUCAAGGCGCAUUUGAAUUAUUCACUUUUCUCGUCUGGAAAAAAAAAUUGUCUGAAUUGUUCUGUUAAUAAUAAUGUUAAAGUUCUUUGAAGAAAACGAAAUAAACAAAGUUAUCGGAAACCAGAAGAAUUUUAUUGGGAUUUUGUUAUUAAAGUUGGAUGUAUUUUUUAUCCUAUGGUUCGGUCAUGUGCUCAACAUCCAAACUUAUAACCCUUUGUUCACC